GUUAAAGUAGCGUUCAAUUAAUCAAACAAUUGUGUCCAAGGUUGUUUGUUUAGGAUUUGUUGGUUUUAUUUUGGAUCUUUUUAUUCUUUUUUAUUGGUGGGGGUGGAUUCAUUCAUCAUUCUAAAGAGGAGAGACAACUCUAAAGUCGGCAGGAUAUCCUUGAUUGAACUAGCUGCACUGCCUGCCGCAGACAGGGGGAACAUCAACGCUCCUGCAUGUGGCUUUGUCUUUUAAUAGACUUCCAAUUUAUCAUCCUUCUGCUCCAGAAAACAUGACAGAAGCAUAUUGCAUAAUUAGUCCAUCCACCCGGACCUACAUCGCCCUCCCACAUCCCGCCUGCUCCCUUCCAUUGCCUGUACCAUCAAUCCAAAAUGUCUCCUUGGUUACACUCAUAUACGCAAUCUUCUUUGUGUGUGCAUUGUCCGUUGCAGCAGGUACGCAUGAACAUCCUGUCUGAAUAUCAUGUUUUUCCGGGUUAUUAUGAAAAUGCAUCAUCUCUCGUGCACCCCGAUUGUCAUAACACAAAUUCCCAGUACAUUAUGAUCACUCCCAUUAAGACAUCAUAUUGUGAACAGCUCAGCUCUCUGUGGGUAUUUAAUGGCCACCUUCCACCCCAGAGGCACUGCUGCAUUGUCCUGAAUAAAGACGCCCUUAUUGUGGAGGAGACAGCAAAUUAAAUCCUUAAAAAAAAAACAGGGAAGAAGGCUAGGAGUAAUGAGCAGGCGAAGCUGAUAACAAUAACAGUGUGUAUGUUCGGUGGGCUAGGUAUUAAAGGAAGAGUGAGCCAGCGCAAGGGUGAGUUAGACAGAGCAUGAGCAGGGAGAGAAAAUGGAGAGAGAGGAAGACAAGAGAUCCAGAAAAGAAAAGGCAGAGAAGAGGGAGAAGUAGAGAGAGGUAAAAACAGAAAAUGCCACGGCUGUCUCCAAAUGGGUGUGUUUAUGACAGUAUUGAUGCGCUGCUCUGUGCCACUCUCACCAUGGCAUGGUGUUUAAUUUAUUGUAAAAAUGGUAAUUAGGAAGCAAUAAGACAUGUGAUUACUCAAGCAGGCAGUUUAUAAUUAGAGAAGGAGCCAGCGGGGACAUUUUGGGCAGUCCGCUGCUCUCCGGCAACGAGGCUGGGCAAUUAAAACUUGUCAAAGUUCCGCGGCGGAUACACAGAGGAAAGGGCUGUUGUGGUGCGGGUCUCCUGGCAGACCACUGUCUUGGGCGGUAAAUCACAUGAGUAGCAGGGAACCUUCCCACCCACACACACUCACACACACACACACACACACACACACACACACACACCUACACACACACAAACAGCUACAUACACACAAACACACACACACACACACACCUACAUAUAUGCACACAAACA